rnacentral:rRNA from 1 species
AUACGUAGGUGACAAGCGUUAUCCGGAUUUACUGGGCGUAAAGGGCGUGUAGGCGGUCUUGCAAGUCAGAAGUGAAAUUCCUGAGCUCAACUCGGGCGCUGCUUCUGAAACUGCAGGACUUGAGUGCUGGAGGGGAUAGCGGAAUUCCUAGUGGAGCGGUAAAAUGCGCAGAUAUUAGGAAGAACACCGGGGGAGAAGGCGGCUAUCUGGACAGUAACGGACGCUGAGGCGCGAAAGCGUGGGGAGCAAACAGGAUUAGAUCCCCUGGUAGUCCACGCCGUAAACGAUGAAUACUAGGUGUAGGGGGUAUCGACUCCCUCUGUGCCGCAGUUAACACAAUAAGUAUUCCGCCUGGGGAGUACGGCCGCAAGGUUGAAACUCAAAUGAAUUGACGGGG